GCCGGGCGUGGUAGUGCACGCCUGUAGUCCCAGCUACUCUGGAGGCUGAGACAGGAGAGUCGCUUGGACCUGGGAGGUGGAGGUUGCAGUGAGCCGAGAUCAUGCCACUGCAUUCCAGCCUAGGUGACAGAGCAAUACUCUGUCUCAA
ensembl:misc_RNA Metazoa_SRP Metazoan signal recognition particle RNA